UCAUUGCUAAAGGGGCCUCAGGGAAGGAGUUCUGCAUCCCGACAACUAGAAAGUGAGGGUCUUGCAAACUGGUGUUCCCAUGGCCAGGGAGGGGCUUUGUAUGUCGUUAACUGCAGCAAAAAAACAUAAUUUCAUACUCCUUGAAGCUCGGCCUACUCCCAGAAGAUGAAAAAUAUUUCAGUUCAUUGAAUCCGAGAAUGCAAAACCCACGGACAUGGAGGGCCGACUACACUCAUUUCUUUUGGAUGAACGGACAUCUAUCUCAAAUGGAGAGCAACUUAUCUAAUGCUAUUUUGUCAUGAAUCAGGGGGUGCAACCUUCAGUCACAGCAUGUGGGUAAAAGAACACUGAGAUUACUUAGACCAAGCGGGCAUGAGACCAAGGCCGUGAUCUCGUGUCUUUGCUGCAGGCGCCAUCACACAACUGACUGCAAAGACCAAACCUCAACACCCACCUCAGUAGGGGACGCGAUAGCACAGCGCUGCAGACAGCGCUGCAGACAGCGGGAAGCGAGGCCUCCGCACCAAGAGCGCCAUGGGCGAGGAGGAGCCCUGCGGGUAUUUUUAGGAGGUGGGCAGUAUUUGUUCUAUUUAAAGAGAAACUGAAGUUCAUGCAAAUUUGAAGAGUUUAUUUGAGCACACGGCAAUUCCAAUCGGCUGCACCAAACCGAACGAGGACGCAGGAAAGCAAAGCAAGGAAAUCGCUUGAUUGGCUACAGCUCAAGGAGUUGCCUCACUUGGGAAGGCCCAGUUGCCUGUUUCUGGUUGGUUGUCCAUUGAGGCAUUUACAAGACUACUCUGGCCUCCUUGUUUCGGUUCCAAGCCAAAGCAGCAGGUGGCUAGGUGGUUCUAGUAUCUUGACGCCAUCCCAGGGUUCCUCAGCAGCGGAGGCCCUGAAACUUGAACCCUUUACGCCAUUAGCCUGUUUGGCUCACUGCAGACACUCAGAAGGCAUCCACUAGAAGAAGCUUUAGCUCUGCGGCUCUGUCCGGGUCUGCAACCUACAGCCCCAUGAACUGAACGGCAGCAGCUUGGCCGUGGCUAGAACACUUGUUCCCAGGGUUUCAUCGCUGCAUCGGCGCUGUCCAUCAGCACCACCAAUGGCCUGAUUAGAAAUGCCACUUUGCCACCACCCCAAGCACAAACCUAUGGACUAAGACACUUUGGGAACAAGAGACAAGAAUCGGUGUUUUAAGGCGCCUUCAGGUGAUGCAGAUGUGUAAUAAAAAGAAUCCCAUUUAUAAACAUAGAAAGUGAAAAGCCCCCAAGCAUCUCACCUCCUGGAAAAAAAAAUUUGAGAAAGUAUCCAUUUAGACUGUUUUUUUGCAUAUGCAUGGGCUGCUGUGUGUCUGGGUGUUCAUAUAUCCCUUUACAUAUGGUUUUCCUUAGUACAAUGCAGUCACACUUUACCAAUCUGCACUGACGUUUUCCCUCUUAAUAAUAUAUCUCUUUCAAAACCUAACUGUUGAGGAGCUGGAAUCUGACUUACGCGCCACCGUAGAGACCGUGGCUGGGCAUCGCCGGAGGGACCAGUGGAGGGAGACUAGCUCCAGAGGGAGCAGGGACGCAGCCGGGAGGGUCCCUCCUAUGCCACCUCCGCAGGGGUGCAGGCCCCCCAGUGGUCGCCUUCCACACCUGUGUCGACCCUGCCCGCCACCCCUGUGCACCGUGGGUGUGUGGCUCCUCACUGCGGCCCCCAGCGCUCUGCACCCCGCAUUCCGCCUGGCUCGCUCCCUUCUUGCCAUCCCCUCCAAGAUGCAAACUCAGGUCACACUGCCACUGGGACUUGAAGUACCUGCAUCUCCGAAGGAAAAGAACUCACCUGGUGCCCUCAGGGACACAUGAGCAGGCUGAGCCUGGUGUGGACCCUGCCCCACAUGGGGUGCCCAGGGGACCAUCCGCCCAGUCGCUCCUGGGCCUGUCCUUUGGAGAGGCCCCGCCAGAGCCGGGGACGGCCAGCGACGACCCCAGCGCCCCGGUGCUUCUUUCUGGGCUUGGGGCGUCUGGAGAAGCGGCCCCAAGCGUGCUGAGCUCCACGGAAGGUAAAUACCUGUUGGGACCAACGAUCGCAGAAAGGGAAAGACGAGAGUCACCUGCAGACAGCGAGGGCGACUCCUCACCAGGCACUGGCGAGAUCCGAGGCAGCGCGGGACUGUGUUCUCAUACCUCGUGUCACCACUGAUGAGGCCACUCGGGGUCCCCACGGACCCGACGGUGCUGGGGGGCGGUGCCUCCCCUCUGCCGGGUCUGGAUUCUAACCUCUCCUGCCCGUGAGGCGUCUGCAGCCGUCUGACCAGCUCGCAGCCCCGUCUGUCCUCUGCCCGCUUUGCGGUCGCCUCCUGCGCACCGAGCUGAGUUCUCACGAACUCCACAGGACGCCGCUGGUUCUUCAGCUCCUCGCCGGAGCACGUCACUCUCACAGUGGGAGGACUGCCACCGGACACUGGCGCACACUGCCGCCCGAGGCUCAACGUAUUGGGCUACUAGAAGGCUCCACUUAAGCGACAGAGAUUAGAUUAAUAAUAGACUUAAAACUUAGACGUGUAUGGUGUUUGUGACCAUGACGUUACGCAUGACACAAAGUUUUGAAGGAGAUGAGAAAGUAUUCUUCCAGUAUUUAGAAACGAUGCCUGCAUACAGCACAACAUCCCUCACAGGAUUUGAGAAUGAGUACAACUCCAACGUCUUUGUUGAUUCAGUAUCUUAUUUGUAAAACAAAACGAGAAACAGCCGUAUCUUCCGAAGAAAAACAGGCAAAUGACAUGAUCAGAAAUUGGACAAAAUAUACACAGGUGGCUACUAAAGACAUGAGAAAAUGCUCAAAACCCCGAACCCCUAGGGAGAUGCGAUUCAAACCACAGAGGUAGUGUGAGACAUCACUAAAAAGGCUGACGUCAAAGACUGGCCACAUCAAGUACUACAGGGAUGUAGAGGAAAUGGGACUCGCAUACGCUGCUGGUGGAAACGCGGUCAUUUUUUAUCAGAGUUUGGCAGUUUCUCAAAAAGUUAAACUCUCAUCUCCUCUGUGUGCUAGGCAUGGCACUUUGAGUUGUAACGAAAAGAAAAAUGAAACGCUUCUCCAUAUAAAGAAUCGUAAUGAAAAUGUUCAGAGCGGCUUUAUUUGCAAUAGUCCAAAACUGAAAAUAGCCCGACUGGCCGAACACAGAUGAACGGCUAGAGGUACAUAUACAUAUACACAAAAACAUAUAUAUUUAAAAAUAUUAUUGAGUAAUAAAAGAAUGAAUUACUUAUAUAAGCACCACUGAUGAAUCUCAAAACAAUUAUGCAGCAUGAGUGGAGGGAAAAUUAGAAUAAACUUAAAAUUUCAUCACAUAAAAGUCUAGAAAAAUGCAAACUAAUCAGUAGAGAGUAAAUCAAUGGUUGCUGUGAGGUCCAGGAAGGGCAUGGAGAUUAUAAAAGGACACGAGGCAAAUACACGAGUGACAGAUCUUCAUUAUAAUAGCCGUGACGAUAGUUUCACAGGU